rnacentral:rRNA from 1 species
GAUGAACGCUGGCGGCGUGCUUAACACAUGCAAGUCGAACGGAAAGGCUCCUGCUUGCAGGGGUACUCGAGUGGCGAACGGGUGAGUAACCCGUGGGUGAUCUGCCCUGCACUUCGGGAUAAGCCUGGGAAACUGGGUCUAAUACCGGAUAGGACGAUGGUUUGGAUGCCAUUGUGGAAAGUUUUUCGGUGUGGGAUGAGCUCGCGGGCUAUCAGCUUGUUGGUGGGGUAAUGGCCUAUCAAGGCGUCGACGGGUAGCCGGCCUGAGAGGGUGUACGGCCACCUUGGGACUGAGCUACGGCCCAGACUCCUACGGGAGGCAGCAGUGGGGAAUAUUGCACAAUGGGCGCAAGCCUGAUGCAGCGACGCCGCGUGGGGGAUGACGGCCUUCGGGUUGUAAACUCCUUUCGCUAGGGACGAAGCGCAAGUGACGGUACCUUGAGAAGAAGCACCGGCUAACUACGUG